rnacentral:tRNA from 1 species
GGGCAUAGCUCAGUGGUACAGUGCGUGCUUAGCAUGCACGAGGUCCUGGGUUCAAUCCCCAGUAGAUCCA